GCAGUAUCCUAACUGUGCUAAGGUAGCAUAAUCAUUAGUCUUUUAAUUGAGGACUGGUAUGAAUGGCUUAACGAGAGAUUGACUUUUUUUAUUAUACAAAUUUAAUUUAAUUUUUUAGUGAAAAAGCUAAAAUUUUUCAGAAAGACGAGAAGACCCUAUAGAGUUUUAUGUUUAUUUAUAUUUUUAAUUAUUAGAUUUACUUUAAAGAAUUAGUAUAAUCAAACAUUUUGUUGGGGCGACAUUAAGAUAAAAAAAACUCUUAUUUUUAAAAAUUUUUUUAGAAAUAUAAAUUGAUCCUUUAAAAAAGAUUAUAAGAAAAAAUUACCUUAGGGAUAACAGCGUAAUCUUUUUUGAGAGUUCUAAUCGACAAAAAGGUUUGCGACCUCGAUGUUGGACUAAAAUUUAGACAAGGUGCAGCCGUUUUGUUUUAAGG
rnacentral:rRNA from 1 species